AACGCGAAGAACCUUACCUGGGCUUGACAUACACCGGAAACAUCCAGAGAUGGGUGCCCCGCAAGGUCGGUGUACAGGUGGUGCAUGGCUGUCGUCAGCUCGUGUCGUGAGAUGUUGGGUUAAGUCCCGCAACGAGCGCAACCCUCGUUCCAUGUUGCCAGCGCGUAAUGGCGGGGACUCAUGGGAGACUGCCGGGGUCAACUCGGAGGAAGGUGGGGAUGACGUCAAGUCAUCAUGCCCCUUAUGUCCAGGGCUUCACACAUGCUACAAUGGCCGGUACAAAGGGCUGCUAAGCCGCGAGGUGGAGCGAAUCCCAUAAAGCCGGUCUCAGUUCGGAUCGGGGUCUGCAACUCGACCCCGUGAAGUCGGAGUCGCUAGUAAUCGCAGAUCAGCAACGCUGCGGUGAAUACGUUCC
rnacentral:rRNA from 1 species